GUGCUUGCUUCAGCAGCACAUAUACCAAAAUUAUAAUGAUACAAAGAAGAUUAGCAUGGUAACUGUGCAAGGAUGACAUACAAAGUCAUCAAGUAGUCUAUAUUUUU
ensembl:snRNA U6 U6 spliceosomal RNA